rnacentral:rRNA from 1 species
AGAGUUUGAUCCUGGCUCAGGACGAACGCUGGCGGCGUGCUUAACACAUGCAAGUCGAACGGAGACGAUCCGGUGGCAACACUGGUGAAGGCUCAGUGGCGAACGGGUGCGGAACACGUGAGCAACCUGCCCCAAAGACCGGGAUAACACCGGGAAACUGGUGCUAAUACCGGAUACCCCCACGAGCUCGCAUGGGCUUGUGAGGAAAGGGUUUCCGCUUUGGGAGGGGCUCGCGACCUAUCAGCUUGUUGGUGAGGUAACGGCUCACCAAGGCGACGACGGGUAGCUGGUCUGAGAGGACGAUCAGCCACACUGGGACUGAGACACGGCCCAGACUCCUACGGGAGGCAGCAGUGGGGAAUCUUGCGCAAUGGGCGAAAGCCUGACGCAGCAACGCCGCGUGGGGGAUGAAGGCCUUCGGGUUGUAAACCCCUUUCAGUGGGAACGAAAUUGACGGUACCCACAGAAGAAGCCCCGGCCAACUACGUGCCAGCAGCCGCGGUGAUACGUAGGGGGCGAGCGUUGUCCGGAUUUAUUGGGCGUAAAGAGCUCGUAGGCGGCUUGGUAAGUCGGGUGUGAAACCUCCAGGCUCAACCUGGAGACGCCACUCGAUACUGCCCUGGCUAGAGUCCGGUAGGGGAUCACGGAAUUCCUGGUGUAGCGGUGAAAUGCGCAGAUAUCAGGAGGAACACCAGUGGCGAAGGCGGUGAUCUGGGCCGGUACUGACGCUGAGGAGCGAAAGCGUGGGGAGCGAACAGGAUUAGAUACCCUGGUAGUCCACGCCGUAAACGUUGGGCACUAGGUGUGGGGCCUUAUCGACGGGUUCCGUGCCGCAGCUAACGCAUUAAGUGCCCCGCCUGGGGAGUACGGCCGCAAGGCUAAAACUCAAAGGAAUUGACGGGGGCCCGCACAAGCGGCGGAGCAUGUGGCUUAAUUCGAGGCAACGCGAAGAACCUUACCUGGGCUUGACAUGUGGGGUAAGGCGCAGAGAUGCGCUGAUCUUCGGAUCCCACACAGGUGGUGCAUGGCUG